CAAUCACUCGCAAUGGCCAGUAGUAACCUAACACCCCUUUCUAAGCCCCGCCUGCCAGCCCUUCUGUCCUAUGGGAAAUGUUCCGUAGCCUCGUUUGGAUUGGAUGAAGUAGACGUCGAUCCUCUGCAGUUACCAAUGACAAGUUAUAGCGCUCGGCAUCCCGCCUACUCGAGAGUGUAGUCCUCCCUCCCCCCCUCUUUGGUGGUGUUGCGGAUCUGCUGAAGAAAUGUUAAUGCCGCUUCCUUGGGGCAUUCAGAGGAAGGUUUUUAAGCACAUCUUAUGUUGCAGGUGUCCCGAUGGAGGAGUGGUUCUCGACCCUUUGCCAAAUUCAGUAACAUAAAAGGAGCUGUUUCUCCGCAAAGCUGUCAUGUCGUUGCAUGCAAAGUUAGGCUCACAAGAGGGUCUUAGAUUGGGGUUGCAGCUAGUGACUGGCAACAACCUUAGAGGCCCUGCUACACAUUCAAAUUAAAGCUGGAUAGAAACCGGCUAUGGAGUUGUUACACAUUUUCAAACACUUAAUUUAUAGCUCUCUGACUCUUUUUAUAGCUGGAUGGUUAUUUUUAUUGUGUGAUAAUUACUUUGCACUCGUGACCGGUUUUACUUACAAAGCAUGUGUGGCCAGCCUAAGUUUAUUGUGCAAUGUGCCAGUUAAUUGUAUAACAUAUGUAUCAGGGGCUGUAGUACCAAGCUUCCAAUCAGGAUGGGGGUGGGAGGGAUUUUAAGUUUACAUGCACAUGCACGCGCACACACCAGAGCUCCACUGAGAGAUGUUCCCCGAGUCAGUCGGCAGUCGAGUUUUGCCUAUAUUGGUCAUGGAUCAAUGCAAGAAAUGAAGUGUAGUCAGUAGAAAAAGAAUGUUCCAGGAAAAGCGGAGGGAUUCUAGCCUUGUUGUGAAACACUAUGAUAAAGUAGUGCGGCUAAUUUGCAAACAACAUAUAUUAGCCAUGAAUGAAUACAACGUAAAAUGGCACUACAAUAUAAAUCAUAGUUAUUAAAAUGAGUUUGGCGAUGGUUGAAAGAAGAAACUAAAACUGUUACAGAAAGGCCUUGUGUUGCAUUAGUUUUCCAAGACCACAGGUUCUGUUUUGGCCAGCUCUGCUUUCCAUCAUGAGAUGGCAAAGCAGGAAACACCUUAUCCUGAUGGUGGGUUAACCAAAGGUUGCAUGUUGCAAGUUGUGGUUGAGGGUCGCCCAGACAAAAUGUGUAUUUAGUCAGCUCAGCUUGUCUGAAAUGUGUCGCAUGGUUGAGGACAUUAGUGAUGAGCUUAAGUUGCAGCUUCAAAACGUUGGUGACAAGUUUGUGGCAUAUUGAGUCUUUAGAUGAGACUGCUGAGAGAGACAUUAUUCAUGUCAUCACUUUUGUUUGUGGAGCUAUAGAAGAAUUUAAAAUACGUGAAGAAUUUCUUGUGCUUGAAAGGCCAUACCAGAGCAGUAGACUUGUUUGUGUCAAAUGCGUGGCAUACUGCAUUAAACAACAUGCAGUGGGCAUCUUUUGUUAGUGUUGCUAGAUAUGGUGCUCUAUCCAUGGUUGGAGCUAAAACUGGAGCCAGUAACACUCCUAAACCAGGAAGUUAUUGAUGAACACAGUGUUGACAUGAUCCAUUACUAUUGCUUUAUCCAGCAAAAAGCCUUUGUAGCUCAGGUUCUCCAGAUGGACCAUAUCAUGAGUGAGAGAGCUUCAUCAAAUAUAGAGGCCUCAAUCACCAGCAGUUUAAGGCCUUUUUAGAAGACUCUGAAGCUGAAUUUAGAGAUGCUGUAUAUUUCACAGCAACUUGAUGACUAAGCACAGGUGCCACCUUUUGAAAUUUUUUUUCUUUUGAGGGAAAAUGCAGUUUUGAAUUUAUGAAUGCAAUAGGGCAAGGUUUUCAUCAGCAGCAUGAUUCUGAGUGGUGCUGUAACUUGGCAUUCUUAAUCCAUAUUACUGGUGAUCUUGCUGAAUUGAAUUUGAAGCCUCAAGGCUAUGAGAACUUUUCUUUGACUCCUUGAGAGUGUUGAGUCCUUUGAAAGAUGAUUCAUACUAUUACAGAAGCAACUGAAGGAAGGCAGUGUCUAUCAUUUUGCAUCAUGCAAAACAAGCACAGGCAUAUGUAACGACAUGGCCAAAUGUGCAUGAUCAUCUUCUCCUGUCUCUACACCAAAAUGCUCGUGGGUGAAGAACCCAGUGCACUGGAAGUUCUGUGGUCUGAAAAUUAUUUGCAGACUAUUAGUGUUUGUUGGAACAAUCCAGUCAGCACUUCUUGGAUUUCAAGUUUCAUGGGCAAGCACUGGCUAUCUUUCCAAAUCCAUGUAACCAAAAAAGUGCUCCAGUGGACAUGCAGUCAGAAUUGAUCAUCUUGUAAGAGUAUAUUUUCAAGCAAGGGCAUUUUACUGUGAACUUAGUCUAGUUGAGUUUUUACAAAGGACUCUCCCCAAAACCUACCCUGCAAUAUGCAAACAUGGACAACACAUGGCCUCUGUGUUUGGAAGCGUGUACAUGCAUGAGAGCCUUCUCUACAAUGAAUAAAAGCAGUUUUAAAUUAAGAUCCAAGCCAAUGUAUGGUCACCUUCAUGCGGUUCUCUGAAUUGCAAUGUCAAGCAUUUUACCAAGAUGGCAAAACAUGGCAUCUAAGAGAAGUCAGCUGCAUAAAUCUCAUUCAGCAAAAAAUUAGGUAUGGGGCUUCCACUUUUUUCCAGUAUAAUGUAUCUAGUUGGAGAGGGCUUUUCUAUAAUGCUUUUUUAUUUUAUUUCAUUUUUUAAUACUUGGCAAACUAGUUAUGGUUGUUGAACUUAAGAUCUGGUAAAUCUUUAAAUGUAUAACAGUUUUUGUUUUGUUUUUGAAGGGAAGUUUAAAAAAAAUAAAGUUUAAAAUAAUGUUG